ensembl:lncRNA
ACGUCCAACUAAUAUCUUCUACUCGAAACAGCACCACUUCAAAAGCCUUGAAACUAACCCUUUUAUCGUGCCAUGAAACCAUUAAAGACAAUUUCACAGCAGCGUUCAUGGGACACUGCCGAGAAGUGUAGGUGGGCAACCUGUGAGAUAGCAUCACAGGUGGCAGCGCUCUGGUCAAACAGCAAUUUGCCUCUUUAGAAACAGUUAGGCCUAGUGAUCCCCAGGAAGUAAUUUCACAUUUAUAGAAAGAUCAAUGGCCCCGCGCUCUGACUCUAAUUGGUUAGAAAACAGAUCAUCAGUUGCAAUCAGAGCAUCAAGCAGCAGGCUCACCAGGAUCCUUUUUUUUUUAUUAUGAGACAUGUAAGAUUUCUGCAGACUCUGGAGAAUGUGUGUGCAAAUCAGCUACCCAGAUGAAUUUAAAUAAUGAUUCAACAGCAUCAGGACACACAAAUGAAAUUCAAUUGUUCACACACACACACACACACACACACACACACGUCGCGUAUAUCCGUCACUUGGCAUGAACACGGGAGGCAGCUCUCAGUUUGCGCACCAGCCAGUGUGUUGCUACCGAACAACAACUAGCAGCUCGACGUGACUGCAGCGCCGCUGCCCCCUUCCUCCUCCUCCUCCUCCUCCUCUUCCUCCUCCUGAACGUACAAAGUGCAGAAAUCUCCUGCGAAACUCUCCCAAAAAAUGAGCGCCUUCAAAGCACAAGUAGCAAACGCGUUUUACAUAACGAGGACAUCCUCAUCCUACUUCUGCGCUGGAGCAUGUGAUGGCAACAUGGUGAGCCUUUUAAAGGCGUAUCCACGCGUAACUGUGGGCAGGGGCUGCUGGGUGGAUCCACCCCGGUAACUUUCUCGGAGGGGAUGCGCCGUGGCGUUAAUUGGUCACGGCGGUGACUGUCAGUCAGCCCCUGCCUGACAGCCCCUGCACACACACACACACACACACACACACUACAGUGUGUCUCAAAGUGGAGGCUCGGGUCCCCGCUGGGGCCCCAUGCCAAGCACUGCAAGUAUGAGUCCGACCCAAGACCUCAACUGACUUCCACACGUUUUAUGAGAAAAUAUAAAUAAUAAUAUUUAGGAUAUGUGACAUGUAUCUGGAGUGGUUCAUUCUCUCGCCAACAAACUUGUUUGUCAUUAUUAUAUUAUAAUAGAGUUGUGAUCUUUUAGCUAUUUCUAAAAAAUGUGCUUUGUUAGAAAUAUAAUAAUGACUUUAUAAUAAUCUCUCUCUCCCCUCUCCUCAGACAGACAUCAUUAUUUUUCUCGGCAGGCCUCAGAAGGUCAUUUCCUGUUACCUCCAUAUAAAUCUAGCUUAAUUAAUACAGAGGAUAGUUAAUUGUCGAGCAAUGGUGGCAUGGAGCUCAUUACCCAUGUUGCUUGACAUCAGAAAAUAAUACAAUGAAAUAAAAGACUAUAUGUCUGCUCACAAAAGACGCAAUGCACAGAGCUACAUUACUUUCUUGUAUAUAUGGUUUACUUGUUUGUUUAUCUUGAAAAGUUGAUGUGAUGAAGAGAGCUGUUAGUGGUGGUUUGAGUUUCUCUCAUUCUCUAGGAUUGAUAUUGAGCAGUCAGGCUUUCGAUUUGAUGUCGGUUGUUACGUGCCGUAGUGGUUGUGUUGGGUGCUUGAGUGUUUUGUUAGGAUUGAAUAUGGAUGUAUAUUGACGUGUCUUCUGUUAUUGAUUGACACGUUUUUGUCUAAAAACUUGUGGGGAACCCAGGAAGAGUAGCCACUGUCUAAUAAAUACAUUUUGCACUCUUAAGUCUAUAGUCUCUCAAGUCACUCCUUGAUAAGUCAAGUCCAAGGCCAAGUCUCCAUUUGGAAUAAUCUGUCAGGAGUAAAUAAAAAAUACAUUUUAAUAAAUAGCAGACAUUAUGACUCGACAUCGUAGACAAACCAUGUGGACAUACUCU